rnacentral:rRNA from 1 species
CUAAGGCUCCAGAGGAAGCCACGGCUAACUCUGUGCCAGCAGCCGCGGUAAUACAGAGGCGGCAAGCGUUGUUCGGAAUUAUUGGGCGUAAAGAGCACGUAGGCGGCCUUGCAAGUCAGUUGUGAAAGCCUUCCGCUUAACGGAAGAAUGCCAGCUGAUACUACAGGGCUUGAGUACGGGAGGGGGGAGUGGAACUUCUGGUGGAGCGGUGAAAUGCGUAGAUAUCAGAAGGAACGCCGGCGGCGAAAGCGACUCUCUGGCCCGAAACUGACGCUGAGUGUGCGAAAGCUAGGGGAGCGAACGGGAUUAGAUACCCCGGUAGUCCUAGCCGUAAA